CCCUACGGGGGGCAGCAGUAGGGAAUAUUGCGCAAUGGGCGAAAGCCUGACGCAGCGACGCCGCGUGAGGGAUGAAGGUCUUCGGAUCGUAAACCUCUGUCGGCAGGGAGGAACGGGCACUGGGCUAAUCAGCAGUGAAUUGACGGUACCUGCAAAGAAAGCACCGGCUAACUCCGUGCCAGCAGCCGCGGUAAUACGGAGGGUGCGAGCGUUAAUCGGAAUUACUGGGCGUAAAGCGCUCGUAGGCGGUAUGUCAAGUCAGGUGUGAAAUCCCCGCGCUCAACGGGGGAACUGCCUUUGAAACU
rnacentral:rRNA from 1 species